UUAUUUAAAUUUUAAAUUUUCGAUUUUUUUUUUGCAUUUUUUUGAUUUGUUUUGAAAAUUGUUGAAAAUCAAGGAGCGAG
rnacentral:ribozyme from 14 species